rnacentral:rRNA from 1 species
GGGUUGUGAGGUUAAGCGACUAAGCGUACACGGUGGAUGCCCUGGCAGUCAGAGGCGAUGAAGGACGUGCUAAUCUGCGAAAAGCGUCGGUAAGGUGAUAUGAACCGUUACAGCCGGCGAUGUCCGAAUGGGGAAACCCAGUGUGAUUCGUCACACUAUCGUUAACUGAAUACAUAGGUUAACGAGGCGAACCGGGGGAACUGAAACAUCUAAGUACCCCGAGGAAAAGAAAUCAACCGAGAUUCCCCCAGUAGCGGCGAGCGAACGGGGAGCAGCCCAGAGUCUGAAUCAGCUUGUGUGUUAGUGGAACGGUCUGGAAAGUCCGACGGUACAGGGUGAUAGUCCCGUACACCAAAAUGCACAGGCUGUGAACUCGAAGAGUAGGGCGGGACACGUGGUAUCCUGUCUGAAUAUGGGGGGACCAUCCUCCAAGGCUAAAUACUCCUGACUGACCGAUAGUGAACCAGUACCGUGAGGGAAAGGCGAAAAGAACCCCGGCGAGGGGAGUGAAAAAGAACCUGAAACCGUGUACGUACAAGCAGUGGGAGCACCUUCGGGUGUGACUGCGUACCUUUUGUAUAAUGGGUCAGCGACUUAUAUUCUGUAGCAAGGUUAACCGUAUAGGGGAGCCGCAGGGAAACCGAGUCUUAACUGGGCGUUAAGUUGCAGGGUAUAGACCCGAAACCCGGUGAUCUAGCCAUGGGCAGGUUGAAGGUUGGGUAACACUAACUGGAGGACCGAACCGACUAAUGUUGAAAAAUUAGCGGAUGACUUGUGGCUGGGGGUGAAAGGCCAAUCAAACCGGGAGAUAGCUGGUUCUCCCCGAAAGCUAUUUAGGUAGCGCCUCGUGAACUCAUCUUCGGGGGUAGAGCACUGUUUCGGCUAGGGGGUCAUCCCGACUUACCAACCCGAUGCAAACUACGAAUACCGAAGAAUGUUAUCACGGGAGACACACGGCGGGUGCUAACGUCCGUCGUGAAGAGGGAAACAACCCAGACCGCCAGCUAAGGUCCCAAAGUCAUGGUUAAGUGGGAAACGAUGUGGGAAGGCACAGACAGCCAGGAUGUUGGCUUAGAAGCAGCCAUCAUUUAAAGAAAGCGUAAUAGCUCACUGGUCGAGUCGGCCUGCGCGGAAGAUGUAACGGGGCUAAACCAUGCACCGAAGCUGCGGCAGCGACACUAUGUGUUGUUGGGUAGGGGAGCGUUCUGUAAGCCUGCGAAGGUGACCUGUGAGGGUUGCUGGAGGUAUCAGAAGUGCGAAUGCUGACAUAAGUAACGAUAAAGCGGGUGAAAAGCCCGCUCGCCGGAAGACCAAGGGUUCCUGUCCAACGUUAAUCGGGGCAGGGUGAGUCGACCCCUAAGGCGAGGCCGAAAGGCGUAGUCGAUGGGAAACAGGUUAAUAUUCCUGUACUUGGUGUUACUGCGAAGGGGGGACGGAGAAGGCUAUGUUAGCCGGGCGACGGUUGUCCCGGUUUAAGCAUGUAGGCUGGUUGUCCAGGCAAAUCCGGAUAAUCAAGGCUGAGGUGUGAUGACGAGGCACUACGGUGCUGAAGUAACAAAUGCCCUGCUUCCAGGAAAAGCCUCUAAGCAUCAGGUAACAUCAAAUCGUACCCCAAACCGACACAGGUGGUCAGGUAGAGAAUACCAAGGCGCUUGAGAGAACUCGGGUGAAGGAACUAGGCAAAAUGGUGCCGUAACUUCGGGAGAAGGCACGCUGGUGUGUAGGUGAAGUCCCUGCGGAUGGAGCUGAGACCAGUCGAAGAUACCAGCUGGCUGCAACUGUUUAUUAAAAACACAGCACUGUGCAAACACGAAAGUGGACGUAUACGGUGUGACGCCUGCCCGGUGCCGGAAGGUUAAUUGAUGGGGUUAUCCGUAAGGAGAAGCUCUUGAUCGAAGCCCCGGUAAACGGCGGCCGUAACUAUAACGGUCCUAAGGUAGCGAAAUUCCUUGUCGGGUAAGUUCCGACCUGCACGAAUGGCGUAAUGAUGGCCAGGCUGUCUCCACCCGAGACUCAGUGAAAUUGAACUCGCUGUGAAGAUGCAGUGUACCCGCGGCAAGACGGAAAGACCCCGUGAACCUUUACUAUAGCUUGACACUGAACAUUGAGCCUUGAUGUGUAGGAUAGGUGGGAGGCUUUGAAGCGUGGACGCCAGUCUGCGUGGAGCCAACCUUGAAAUACCACCCUUUAAUGUUUGAUGUUCUAACGUUGGCCCCUUACCGGGGUUGCGGACAGUGUCUGGUGGGUAGUUUGACUGGGGCGGUCUCCUCCCAAAGCGUAACGGAGGAGCACGAAGGUUAGCUAAUCCUGGUCGGACAUCAGGAGGUUAGUGCAAUGGCAUAAGCUAGCUUGACUGCGAGCGUGACGGCGCGAGCAGGUGCGAAAGCAGGUCAUAGUGAUCCGGUGGUUCUGAAUGGAAGGGCCAUCGCUCAACGGAUAAAAGGUACUCCGGGGAUAACAGGCUGAUACCGCCCAAGAGUUCAUAUCGACGGCGGUGUUUGGCACCUCGAUGUCGGCUCAUCACAUCCUGGGGCUGAAGUAGGUCCCAAGGGUAUGGCUGUUCGCCAUUUAAAGUGGUACGCGAGCUGGGUUUAGAACGUCGUGAGACAGUUCGGUCCCUAUCUGCCGUGGGCGCUGGAGAAUUGAGGGGGGCUGCUCCUAGUACGAGAGGACCGGAGUGGACGCAUCACUGGUGUUCGGGUUGUCAUGCCAAUGGCACUGCCCGGUAGCUAAAUGCGGAAGAGAUAAGUGCUGAAAGCAUCUAAGCACGAAACUUGCCCCGAGAUGAGUUCUCCCUGAGACUUUAAGUCUCCUGAAGGAACGUUAAAGACGAUGACGUUGAUAGGCCGGGUGUGUAAGCGCAGCGAUGCGUUGAGCUAACCGGUACUAAUGAACCGUGAGGCUUAACCUUACAACGCCGAAG